rnacentral:tRNA from 1 species
UCCGGGGUAGCUCAAUUGGUAGUAGCGACUGGCUGUUAACCAGUAGGUUGUGGGUUCGAGUCCCACCCCCGGAGCAA